GUGAAUCAUCAAAUUUUUGAACGCAAAUUGCACUCUCUGGUAUUCCGGAAAGUAUGCCUGUUUGAGGGUCAGUUAAAUCAAAAUCGGUGUUGUUGCUGCCUUUCGUGGUGACGCGGCGGCAUUGAGUUGUCUUACAUUCGGUUAAGUGACUUAAAAUUUUGCAUGAUUUUCGAUCGUAUUAAAAUUUCUUACGUACGUUUGAUAUCUCUAGUACUUUAUUAGGUUUGGUCAUCCACAUGCAUCGCAGCUAUAAUUUUUCAUUAGAUGACC
rnacentral:misc_RNA from 1 species